rnacentral:tRNA from 1 species
GUGGGAUUAGCGUAGUCGGUUAACGCGCCAGAUUGUGGAUCUGGAGACCAAGGGUUCGAGUCCCUUAUUCCACC